rnacentral:lncRNA from 1 species
GUUUUUUUCUAAUUUAGACAUCCAUUUUGGUGGUUUAUUACAUAACACACCAAAUUAUUACAUUUUCAUGAUAAAAAAACAUGCAACACCUGCAUUUUGUAAUUACUGAUGCAAUAUGUUAUACAUGUAUGUAAUAGUUAAUACAUAAUGGGGCGUUAUUACAUAAUGUGGCGCUACAAGCCUUAAAAUUGCUUGAAUGGAGAGCAGCGGCAGACAGAAAGCUCUUCAGUCUUGUUUUAAAAGAGGUGAACCAGGAGAUGAGGUAUACUAAUAUUAAUGUGGGCAACAUAUCAUGAAUGUAUUGUAUCAUGAAUUACUUUGUGAUUCCUACCCCUAUGUAUCAGCCAGAAAUGAUGAUUAAAGACUGUAGGUGACGCAGCUUACCAUCCUUUUUAUUCAGCGCUGCACCAUUGGUCUCCAAUCGCUCUCUUUUUAUCCGUGUCUCUCUCCCUCCUCCUGCUCUCUUUCUGUCUGUGCAGCUGCAAUCUUCACAGCUCUAAUCCCCUCUUCUCUCCCCUGUGUGCUGGAACGCCAUUCAACUAUUUAACCACAGCCCCGAAACAAACCAACAUCUGUUUGGAGGCCAGCCCAGACCCAGCCACUGCCGUCCUGCUGCGAACACACCAGCCGCCGCCAGCUUAACCCCUUGCUUCCCAGAUGAGAUGCAGGCUCGCUAGGCCAGCAGCUCAGUCAGCCAACAGGAGAAUUGUGUGUUCACUCGCAGAGAGUAUAGACUACACUGCUGCUGUGGGGAAACGUCGGACUGCCUUCAAAGAAGCGAGAGAGCUGCUGAGCCACUGCCCCAACACCCAGUUUGGUCUGCUGUUCCCCGCGACGUUGAAAAUCACUGGCCCAAAUGGAGAACAGAGAUCAUUCGACAACCCUGCUGAAGCUAAGCAAUACAUUAUUGGUCACUUGCAAACCGAGGAUACAG